UAUCGGAUUGAUACUAAGCCAUGCGAGUCAUUGCAGUAAUGCAAGGCAGACGGCUCAGUAACGCGUAGUCAACCUACCCUAUGGACGGGAAUAACCUCGGGAAACUGAGUAUAAUGCCCGAUAGAACACUAUUCCUGGAAUGGUUUGUGUUCCAAAUGAUUUAUCGCCGUAGGAUGGGACUGCGGCCUAUCAGUUUGUUGGUGAGGUAAUGGCCCACCAAGACUAUUACAGGUACGGGCUCUGAGAGGAGUAGCCCGGAGAUGGGUACUGAGACACGGACCCAGGCCCUAUGGGGCGCAGCAGGCGAGAAAACUUUGCAAUGUGCGAAAGCACGACAAGGUUAAUCCGAGUGGUUUGUGCUAAACGAACCUUUUGACAGUCCUAGAAACACUGUUGAAUAAGGGGUGGGCAAGUUCUGGUGUCAGCCGCCGCGGUAAAACCAGCACCUCAAGUGGUCAGGAUGAUUAUUGGGCCUAAAGCAUCCGUAGCCGGCUCUGUAGUUUUCGGUUAAAUCUGUACGCUCAACGUACAGGCUGCCGGGAAUACUGCAGAGCUAGGGAGUGGGAGAGGUAGACGGUACUCGGUAGGAAGGGGUAAAAUCCUUUGAUCUAUUGAUGACCACCUGUGGCGAAGGCGGUCUACCAGAACACGUCCGACGGUGAGGGAUGAAAGCUGGGGGAGCAAACCGGAUUAGAUACCCGGGUAGUCCCAGCUGUAAACUAUGCAAACUCAGUGAUGCAUUGGCUUGUGGCCAAUGCAGUGCUGCAGGGAAGCCGUUAAGUUUGCCGCCUGGGAAGUACGUACGCAAGUAUGAAACUUAAAGGAAUGGGCGGGGGAGCACCACAAGGGGUGAAGCCUGCGGUUCAAUUGGAUUC
rnacentral:rRNA from 1 species